GCCUACGGGGGGCAGCAGUGGGGAAUAUUGGGCAAUGGAGGCAACUCUUACCCAGCAAUGCCGCGUGAAUGAAGAAGGUCUUCGGAUUGUAAAGUUCUUUAAUUGGGGACGAAAAAAAUGACGGUACCCAAGGAAUAAGCCACGGCUAACUACGUGCCAGCAGCCGCGGUAAUACGUAGGUGGCAAGCGUUAUCCGGAUUUACUGGGUGUAAAGGGCGUGUAGGCGGGAAAGCAAGUCAGAUGUGAAAACCAUGGGCUCAACCUGUGGCCUGCAUUUGAAACUGUUUUUCUUGAGUACUGGAGAG
rnacentral:rRNA from 1 species